AUGAGAAAUUACUAAGUUGGGAGUGGUAAUGUUGCUUUUUUGCUUCCUUCUCUUCUUUUCUAAGAACCGAAUGGUUUGAUGGCUUAGGAUUUGCUUAUCAAAUAUUGGAUUUGAGCGUAAAUUCAAGCUCUUUUCUCCAAGAUGAUUCUCUCUAGUAUCGAUAAUUUUAUAUUAAAAGGUCUGUGCUGGAAGGUAGUGGAACAAAUUUUCUGUUAAUUCAUGGGUGCUUCCAUACAAGGUAGUAUGCCUUUUUCAAAUGGAGACUACUUGUGUGGUAUUUUAGGAAAAGAGCAACAAUUUAGGGGAG
rnacentral:lncRNA from 1 species